CCUACGGGUGGCAGCAGUGAGGAAUAUUGGUCAAUGGCCGCAAGGCUGAACCAGCCAAGUCGCGUGAAGGAUGACUGCCCUACGGUUUGUAAACUUCUUUUAUAAGGGAAUAAAGUGAGGCACGUGUGCCUUUUUGUAUGUACUUUAUGAAUAAGGCUCGGCUAACUCCGUGCCAGCAGCCGCGGUAAUACGGAGGAUCCGAGCGUUAUCCGGCUUUAUUGGGUUUAAAGGGAGCGUAGAUGGGUUGUUAAGUCAGUGGUGAAAGUUUGUGGCUCAACCGUAAAAUUGCAAUUGAUACUGGAAGACUUGAGUAUAGUUGAGGUAGGCGGAAUGCGUGGUGUAGCGGUGAAAUGCAUAGAUAUCACGAAGAACUCCGAUUGCGAAGGCAGCUUACUAAACUGUCACUGACACUGAUGCUCGAAAGUGUGGGGAUCAAACAGGAUUAGAUACCCGAGUAGUC
rnacentral:rRNA from 1 species